UACGUAGGGUGCGAGCGUUAAUCGGAAUUACUGGGCGUAAAGCGUGCGCAGGCGGUUAUUUAAGGCAGGUGUGAAAGCCCUGGGCUUAACCUAGGAAUUGCGCUUGAGACUGGAUAGCUUGGAGUGCGGCAGAGGGAGGUGGAAUUCCACGUGUAGCAGUGAAAUGCGUAGAGAUGUGGAGGAAUACCGAUGGCGAAGGCAGCCCCCUGGGAUAAUACUGACGCUCAUGCACGAAAGCGUGGGGAGCAAACAGG
rnacentral:rRNA from 1 species